UGGGGGAUAUUGCACAAUGGGCGAAAGCCUGAUGCAGCGACGCCGCGUGGGGGAUGAAGGCUUUCGGGUUGUAAACCUCUUUCGUUAUCGAACAAGGCCCGCUUAGGGUGGGUUGAGGGUAGGUGGAGAAGAAGCGCCGGCUAACUACGUACCAGCAGCCGCGGUAAUACGUAGGGCGCGAGCGUUGUCCGGAAUUAUUGGGCGUAAAGGGCUUGUAGGCGGCUUGUUGCGCCUGCUGUGAAAACGCGGGGCUUAACUUCGCGCGUGCAGUGGGUACGGGCAGGCUUGAGUGUGGUAGGGGUGACUGGAAUUCCAGGUGUAGCGGUGGAAUGCGCAGAUAUCUGGAGGAACACCGAUGGCGAAGGCAGGUCACUGGGCCAUUACUGACGCUGAGGAGCGAAAGCAUGGGUAGCGAACAGG
rnacentral:rRNA from 1 species